UACGUAGGGUGCGAGCGUUAAUCGGAAUUACUGGGCGUAAAGCGUGCGUAGGCGGUUCGUUAAGUCAGUUGUGAAAGCCCCGGGCUCAACCUGGGAAUUGCGGUUGAAACUGGCGAACUAGAAUCUGGCAGAGGGGGGUGGAAUUCCACGUGUAGCAGUGAAAUGCGUAGAGAUGUGGAGGAACACCGAUGGCGAAGGCAGCCCCCUGGGCUGAGCAUUGACGCUCAGGCACGAAAGCGUGGGGAGCGAACAGG
rnacentral:rRNA from 1 species